rnacentral:piRNA from 1 species
UGUGCAUUCUUGCUCACGUGACUGC